rnacentral:lncRNA from 1 species
CAGAAAUGUUGAAGUAUACGUAUACCGUGUCAGACAGUUCUACUACUACAGUAACUAUGGUAAUUCCAUAUGUGUAAAGUAUAUAGAGCUAUUCAGUUGAUAUCUGAGGUGUCUACUCCAAAGUAAAUUAAAAUACUUAGUUCCAUCAGUUGCAUGGACUGUGUUUUCACUGACUACAAUGGGAAAAUGAUUAUGUUAUUCUAUGAAUUUGUACCUAAGUAUCUACACACACACUACAUUUCCAAAAACCUCAUUUAGGAGGGUUUAAUAUGGGGCUAAACUGACCAAAUUCAAUUCCAAAUGGCAAUACAACACUUACCUGAGGAACCUUCCACAGAUGAUGGCUUAUUGAGCGAAAUAGAUUAUAAGACUGUUAAUGUCCAGAUAGGUAAAGCAAACAAAACCUCUAGACUCAUCAACUCAAUCUAGAAGCCUACAGAUAAAGAGCAGAAAGUGAAUUUGAAUUAACUGGUUCCUCCUAUUCCCUUCCCUGCCAAUCCCCUCACUGCAAGAAAAAAUGUUGUCAGUCUACAGUAAUUACAACACCCACAUCCCUAUUACCAUGAGGAAAAAAAAAAAGCAAGGUGGAUGACCUUUAUGUGCCCUUCUUAAGUCUUCUCUCUACAUAUUUUCUCACUGCUCCUUCAAUCACAAAGGGCCAGAGUCAAUCUGUUUCCUCUCCUGAUGACACUGUGGCAGACCUCCACAGGCACUGCCUGCAGGAGCAUUCUCUCUGACAACGGAGAGCCAGCCCGCAACAGUUCUAUUCAUAGAGCAGAAGAGAAAAAUCUUCUCAUGAUUGGAGGCUCCUAGCAAGAACAGCAAGCAAGGACUGACAAGCAGCAAGGACAGGAAAGCCACUUCCAUGCAUGGAGCCCAGCUCUGCCCUGGAGAAAUGCAGGUGUUUGCAAACAAUGAAAGCUACAGCCCAUAUCCCACAAGAAACCAAGACAACAAAUGAAACAGAACCAGCCCAGGGCAAUAACAGACAAAGAGUGAAUGCUCUCACUGAGAAAAAAGGAAGAGAAGCAGAGGGAUAUUACCUGACAAAAGACCUGCUGAAACAAGAGGUGGAAGAAGAGAUUGCAAAAGGUUAAAAUACAAAUACAUGCCUAUGAACCUGCUACAUAUAAACGUAGCUGGGAGUCUGAAGGAAGCUGCCAACAAGCAGAGAAGUAAGGCUGUGGCACAGUUAACUUUAGAAGCUCUGACAAUUUUACAUUAAACAGCUGCUGAAGUGGCAUUUGGUCACUGUGCAAAGUACGUUUUUGAUGAAAUGCUCACAGCAAUAAACUGCAUUUGGCGGUCCA